AUGCCGGGGAGGGCCUGGGGCCAGGGCAGUGCUGUGGCUCACUGGAGGUUUCUCUUCUCUCCCAGCCGAGUCGGGACCGGAGCUGCGCACUCCAGACGCGUCGGCCAUCUCCCCGUCCCUGCGAAACGAGUCCCUGGUCUCCUACGCCUCCAUGUCGGAGGAGGAGGAACGGGAAGGCCGGGAGGUGGAGAGGGGCCACGGUGGGGCCGCGGGGAUGCAGCCGGGGCCCGAGGCCCCCAUGUCAGCGGAGGAGGACAUGAAACUGUCCCGCCAGGCCAUGCUGAUCCGCCGGUGCAGCUCCCAGGGCUCCGUCACUUCCCUGCCCGAGGACUCCCUCAACCCCGCGGACGCUCACUCGGACUGGGGGCACGAGGGCGUGUCCGACCUGCCCGCCCUGGGCCGCGGGCUCGACUCGGCGCAUCCCGAGGAGCAGGCGGGCGGCCCGGGCCCGGAGAUGGGCGCCUUGCCCAGGGUACUGAUGGGGCCCACCUGGGAGAAGGCUCCGGCGGAGGAGGAGCCCCCGGCCCGCUCCCCGCUGCACGGCGCCCUGACCGAGGAGUCGCUGCCCUCCUCCGCCUCCCCGCCCGGAGACGCCCCGGCCGCCGCCCGGCCCGCCCGCGGGCUGGGCUGCUCCCCGCCUGCGCGAGGACCGCCGCGAGAGCUGGAGGACUAGCAUCCAUCACCUGCUCGACCUGGAGGAGCAGUGGGACCAGCUGUACCACCAGGAGCUGGCCAUGUGGCAGGAGGAACGGGCCACCCAGCGCGAGGACGGGCCCGCGACCGGGAGCUGCAGUUCCGCCUGCUCGGCGUCCUCACGGACAUCCGCGGCGAGCUGCGCUACCUGCGCCAGGAAGCGCGCCGCCGCCCGCCAGAGCCCGGCCCCGCCGCCCCGAGCCCGCCCGCGGCCCCAGCCCGCUCCUCGAGCAGCCCAAAGCCGAGCCCAGCUUCCCCGAGCCGCCCGGCGGGGCGCCGCCUGGGCAGACACCGCCGUGCCCAGCCGGAGCCCUUUUCGGCAACCGCGGCCGGGGCCGGCGCCCCUGGCGGCCGCGGCUCCCGCUUCCCGACACAGACGCCUCUUCCCGCCAACAGCUAGGGACGGGCGGGAGCCGCUCCGCCACGGACACCGAGUGCCCGCGGCCGCCCCGGGGA
rnacentral:lncRNA from 14 species